CUACGGGCCGCUGCAGUGGGGAAUAUUGCACAAUGGACGAAAGUCUGAUGCAGCAACGCCGCGUGGAGGAUGACACAUUUCGGUGCGUAAACUCCUUUUAUAUAAGAAGAUAAUGACGGUAUUAUAUGAAUAAGCACCGGCUAACUCCGUGCCAGCAGCCGCGGUAAUACGGGGGGUGCAAGCGUUACUCGGAAUCACUGGGCGUAAAGCGCAUGUAGGCGGACUUGUAAGUUGGAAGUGAAAUCCUAUGGCUCAACCAUAGAACUGCUUCCAAAACUGCUUGUCUAGAAUAUGGGAGAGGUAGAUGGAAUUUCUGGUGUAGGGGUAAAAUCCGUAGAGAUCAGAAGGAAUACCGAUUGCGAAGGCGAUCUACUGGAACAUUAUUGACGCUCAGAUGCGAAAGCGUGGGGAGCAAACAGGAUUAGAUACCCUAGUAGUC
rnacentral:rRNA from 1 species